GUGGCGAUUGGCUGACGCGGUGGCUGCGCACUCGGCCUGAGAAACUCGGCGAGCGGCCCGGUGUCGACUCCCCGGGCUAUGCCAGGCGCAUCUCAGCUGCAAAUCUUGGAGCAAAAACCAGAGACAUUGCCAGAGCAAACAAGAACAGAAAUACAAAUGGAGAACUGGUCAAAAGACAUAACCCACAGUUAUCUUGAACAAGAAACUACAGGGAUAAAUAAAAGUACACAGCCAGAUGAGCAACUGACUAUGAAUUCUGAGAAAAGUAUGCAUCGGAAAUCCACUGAAUUAGUUAAUGAAAUAACAUAUGAGAACACAGAAUGGCCAGGGCAGAGAUCAACGAAUUUUCAGAUCAUCAGUUCUUAUCCAGAUAAUGAGUCUGUUUACUGCACUACUGAAAAAUACAACAUUAUGGAAGAUAGACAUAAUGAUAUGCAUUAUGAAUGUAUGACUCCUUGUCAAGUUACUUCAGACUCAGAUAAAGAGAAGACAAUAGCAUUUCUUCUAAAAGAAUUGGAUAUUCUCAGAACAAGCAAUAAAAAGCUUCAGCAGAAAUUGGCUAAAGAAGAUAAAGAACAGAGAAAACUAAAGUUUAAGCUGGAACUCCAAGAGAAAGAAACAGAAGCUAAAAUUGCUGAAAAGACAGCAGCUCUGGUUGAAGAAGUGUAUUUUGCGCAGAAGGAACGUGAUGAAGCUGUUAUGUCUAGACUGCAAUUAGCCAUUGAGGAGAGAGAUGAAGCAAUUGCACGAGCCAAGCAUAUGGAAAUGUCUCUAAAAGUGCUAGAAAAUAUUAACCCUGAAGAAAAUGACAUGACAUUACAGGAAUUACUGAACAGAAUAAACAAUGCAGACACAGGGAUAGCUAUUCAGAAGAAUGGAGCUAUAAUUGUGGAUAGAAUCUACAAGACCAAGGAAUGUAAAAUGAGAAUAACUGCAGAAGAAAUGAGUGCACUAAUAGAAGAACGGGAUGCUGCCUUGUCUAAGUGCAAACGGUUAGAGCAGGAGCUUCAUCAUCUGAAAGAGCAGAACCAGACUUCAGCAAACAACAUGAGACAUCUGACUGCUGAAAACAAUCAAGAACGUGCUCUGAAGCUUUUCAGAAUCUGCCUGAAAGUGGCCUAAGAAUGGCACAGGCCUUCAGGAUGGCUGGUUUUUUUUUUAUAGUACAGAAAAAGAACUAAACUUUACACUUUUAUUUUCUGUUGCAAGCAUUUGGUUCUUUUAUUUUAUACAUUUUAUCCCUAUACAUUCUUAUAUAUGUCUGUAAGAUAAUGCAUGAUUUAUAUAAUCUAUACAUUAUACUAUAACCAUUUUUUAAAAAACGAUUUCUUCUCAGCCUUUUGUUCACUGAUUAGAAAAAGCUGAUGAAAAACUG
rnacentral:sRNA from 1 species